CUGGGCGGGCGCCCCGGUCAGCGCUGACCCGCCCGGGAGCCGGGACAAAGGAGGCGGCCCCAGGCUGCAGAGAAGCGGGCCGGGCUGUGCGGCUGCGGCGGGAGCCGGGAGGGAAGGCACAGACGCCUCGGCUCCCAGGCCAGGCGGGGCAAGGGCGAGACCCGGACAGCGCUGCGGCCACAGAGCGUCCCGGAACAAAGGGCUGCCCUGAGGCCGGGGAAACUGAAGUGGGCGUGAGGGCAGACGCGGCACCGAAAAGUGGGCCAGGCCGAGGAGCAGAGCCCGAGAAUGACAACUGAGGGAGGAGGAAAGGGGACUCUGCCUGCGCCGUGGGGGCAGGAGGCAGGCAGGAGCACACACGUCCGGAGGCGGCGGACCCAACGGACUAUCACACCGUGACAACCACGGAACAGAGACUUAGAUCAGACGGGAGCCUGAGACUGAAGGAGGCCCGCUGGAGAACAAAGAAAGGGUUCCGGAGCAUAAACAGGAAAGCUGAUUAUUUUCUGCCAUCAGGGAAACGGAAACAGUAAAGCAAGGAAACUGCACUGCAAAAGUAAAUAUUUGCUGAAGGAAUGGAUGCUUCAGUGAAGGAUGCUCAUGGAGGCUGAGAAUGGGGCCAGAUCUGCGACUCAAGACAACUGAGAAUCCAAUUCAGUGUUCAGUCAGGGCUCAAGGGCUGAGCGCAGGCACUGUGUGUGCACAGAAGAGUGCGAAAUCAUCUCUCUGCUAGUGCCCCUCCCCAAGUUCCAGAAGGCUCCCCAAGCACUUCUUCAUUUGGCUCAUGCUACACUAUUCUGCAUGUGCUUAUGGACGCAGUACAAAUAAAUGUGCUAGUAGGGCAUGAGAGA